UCCGUAGGUGAACCUGCGGAAGGAUCAUUACCGAGUGUAGGGUUCCUAGCGAGCCCAACCUCCCACCCGUGUUUACUGUACCUUAGUUGCUUCGGCGGGCCCGCCAUUCAUGGCCGCCGGGGGCCCUCAGCCCCGGGCCCGCGCCCGCCGGAGACACCACGAACUCUGUCUGAUCUAGUGAAGUCUGAGUUGAUUGUAUCGCAACCAGUUAAAACUUUCAACAAUGGAUCUCUUGGUUCCGGCAUCGAUGAAGAACGCAGCGAAAUGCGAUAACUAGUGUGAAUUGCAGAAUUCCGUGAAUCAUCGAGUCUUUGAACGCACAUUGCGCCCCCUGGUAUUCCGGGGGGCAUGCCUGUCCGAGCGUCAUUGCUGCCCAUCAAGCACGGCUUGUGUGUUGGGUCGUCGUCCCCUCUCCGGGGGGGACGGGCCCCAAAGGCAGCGGCGGCACCGCGUCCGAUCCUCGAGCGUAUGGGGCUUUGUCACCCGCUCUGUAGGCCCGGCCGGCGCUUGCCGAACGCAAAUCAAUCUUUUUCCAGGUUGACCUCGGAUCAGGUAGGGAUACCCGCUGAACUUAAGCAUAUCAAUAAGCGGAGGA
rnacentral:rRNA from 1 species